GAGGACCCGGGGGAGGGGAGGCCGCUCUGCACCGCCGUAGCGUUAACCCGUAAUUAACGUUGCGUAAUGAGUUUGUUAAUUAAACCGUGGGGUACAGCAAGACACCCUGCCGAGCAGGCAGCGCCCCGCUCGCUGAUGCUGAGCAUGAAAAUGGGUUAAUUUGACUCGUGCCACUAUUACGUGUUAAUUAAUUUGACUCGUGCCACUAUUACGUGUUAAUUAAUUUGAUUCCUGUCACUAUUACGUGCGCCGAGCAGAAGAGGUGAAAAGGACAGAGCCACCCAAAGCCUCCGACACCCGGCCGAGAAGAUCAGGAGGAGCUGAAGGGCGACCGAAGGACAAAGCCUGAGAGGAAGACUACGAGCCUUCAGCAUCAGUGACCCCCAAAGGGACCCCCGGAGACUGAGGGGCAUGCAUUCGGGGCCGAUUUCGGGGACUAAUUAGAAUGAAUUGAAUGAAUAUUUCUUUUCCAGAAAUAGUGGUGAACACGAAUUGGGUGAAAAGGAGAAGAAGUCAGCCCCCGGAUGCGACGGCGCGCGCCGUUGGUGGGGCAGAGGCUCCCCGGCCGCCCAGCGCUGUUUUGCCUGCUCGACCUCUUGCUCAAAUAAAUUCCAUUCUGAUCAAUAA